UAUAGAGACAGUGAGAGAGAAUGGAGGGUUUGACAGAGUAUCAUGGCCCCAUCAGUAAGAGCCAAGCAGAAGAGAUCCUGAAUGAAGCGGGCAGAGAUGGCAGCUAUCUGAUCAGAGAUAGCAUGAGCUCAGCGGGGUCUUACUGCAUUUGUGUGCUGUGUGCUGGAUGGAUUUACACCUACAGAGUUUUCAAACGAAAGGACGGCCUCUGGACAAUAGCGGUGGCUCCUGGGAUGAAGGAACGACUCUUUCGAAAACUCAGUAACCUCAUUGAUGCCUUUAAGAUCCCGGACCAAGGCAUCUCUGUUCCUCUUCUGUAUCCUGUGAACAAACCUAAACGCACCUAACCUAACCUAACACACAAGUAAAAAAAAACAAACAAAAAAACACCUCACUGUUUUUACCUGCUGUAAAUGUAUGCAAGGGUUUUUCUAUGUUUGAGGAAAUACCCCUGAAUACAGGGGUGGGGGCUCUUAGUCCAAGAGUAGAUUGUAGAAAUGUUGUAAAAAAAAAAAAUGAUGUAAAUUGUAAAAAUGUAUGUAAGUGUAUUAGAUAUAUCAGGAAGGAGAAAACAAUAAUGGUUGUUGCCUUUCAAAUCAAUAUCAAUAUCAAAAUUACAAAUAAUCAACAAGAUAAAAAUAACUGUAAGAAAAAAAUGCCCUGCUAGAAUAUAUAUCAACCCUUGUGCGUUAUUUGUGAAUCACACUCAGGUUCUUUACAGUCAAAAGUGACCGGACACCUGAAAUGUAACUUCUUAUUUUUUCAGUAAAAUCAUUGUAAUACAUUUCUGUACAAUGAUAUUUUUCUUUUUCAUUUUGAGAGGGUUUUGUGGUACUAGUUAAUAUUUAUGCAGUAAUUAAUAUCCAUUUUUCCCAUUGAUAAUAAAAAAAAAAGAUUUUUCAAUGAAUGCAGUAUUUCAGGUUAAAAUAGAGUCUAGGCCUUUAAAAUCCAUUUUUUUUGAAGGCAGAUUAGCGCCAUCUGGUGAGAGUAUCGAAAGAAAACGUGUAAUACUAUGGUGUAACCACUAGAUGCAUGUACAGUAAGUUCUUUAUGUGUGUGUGUGUGUGUGUGUUCGAGAGACACAGUGUGUGACUUUUGCAUUUUGGGUAUGUUACAAUGUCUCCCUUUAUUUUUGAUUUAUUGAUUUUAUUUCACAUAUUCUCAAUUUUCAGUUAGUCUUACCAGGGAAUUUCUCUAUGUGUGUGUGUGUGUCUAUUUUGCAAUCUUGAUGGCUUACAGUCUCAUCCUUUCAUUGCUGUGUGCUUUUUUUCUUACAUUGUGGAUGGCAUUGAUUUUAUUUCACACAUUUCCAAAAAUUUGCUGUUACAGUGGCACACCUUCAUUUGUGUGUGUGUGUGUGUGUGUGUGACUGUUUUGCACUCUUGAUAUUUUAGAGAUUCACCCCUUCACUAUUGUGUGCUUUUUUUCUGCAUUGUGGCUGCUUUGUAGAUUGUACAAACAAAAAAUUCUCUGUAUUUCAUAUUUUUUCCAUUUCCCAUUCAUUUCCUAUGGUUGGUCAUUUUGAUCGAAGACCCUGAGUGUGACUAUUUUUAUUUUACGACCACUUAGCCUGUUCAAAUCAUGCCCUCAAGUUUUGUACCAUUCCGAUGAAGCUGUAAAAAAUCAAAACAUAAAAUUCUACAGUCAGAAGUGAUCGAAGGCCUCACUUAAAUAACUGUCCAUUCCCUACUGUGUUACAUUGUACAUAUCUCUACUGUGUACUGUCAGUCUUUCUUCAAUGUUUUCAGUUUUUUUUUUUUAGAAUCACAUUGAAUUAGCUAUAGAUUCAACAAUAUUUAUUCAGACAGCAACAUUAAAUAUAGAUAGCCAGCUAUAUAUCACUACAGAGAAACCCAUGAGAAAAAUAGGCCUUGAACAAUGUCAGAACUUUGACCAUGAUUGCUAUCUUGUUUUCAGUCUAGUAAUGAAAGUUUAAUAUUUCUGUAUAAAACUGGUCUUUGCAAAUUCUACUUUUAGUGACUGAACUGUAAAACAAAACUGUUCUGUUCAUAUUUUAUACUGAAACUUCAUUUAGCACCACACAUCCUGCAAUAAUACUAUCACACUAACAUUAAAAACAAAAUUGUUUUGAUUUAAAAGAAUUUAUUGUAAUGAUAUUCAGAGCCUUUCUGGUGUUAUAAAUAAUAAAAAAAUCUAUGUACAAUUUA